rnacentral:rRNA from 1 species
GCGCUAUAGGAUGAGCCUACUUCCGAUUAGCUAGUUGGCGGGGUAAUGGCCCACCAAGGCGACGAUCGGUAGCUGGUCUGAGAGGGCGACCAGCCACACUGGGACUGAGACACGGCCCAG